rnacentral:misc_RNA from 1 species
GAUGAAGAACGUAGCGAAAUGCGAUAAGUAAUGUGAAUUGCAGAAUUCAGUGAAUCAUCGAAUCUUUGAACGCACAUUGCGCCCCCUGGUAUUCCGGGGGGCAUGCCUGUUCGAGCGUCAUUUCUCCACUCAAGCCUCGCUUGGUAUUGGGCAACGCGGUCCGCCGCGUGCCUCAAAUCGACCGGCUGGGUCUUCUGUCCCCUAAGCGUUGUGGAAACUAUUCGCUAAAGGGUGUUCGGGAGGCUACGCCGUAAAACAACCCCAUUUCUAAGGUUGUCCUCGGAUCAGGUAGGGAUACCCGCUGAACUUAAGCAUAUCAAUAAGCGGAGGA